rnacentral:rRNA from 1 species
CACGUAGGGCGCGAGCGUUGUCCGGAAUUAUUGGGCGUAAAGAGCUCGUAGGCGGCCUGUUGCGUCCGCUGUGAAAGCCCGGGGCUUAACCCCGGGUCGGCAGUGGAUACGGGCAGGCUAGAGGUAGGUAGGGGAGAAUGGAAUUCCCGGUGUAGCGGUGAAAUGCGCAGAUAGCGGGAGAACACCGGUGCGAAGGCGGUUCUCUGGGCAGUAACUGACGCUGAGGAGCGAAAGCGUGGGGAGCAAACAGG